GGAGGUUGGCUUAGAAGCAGCCAUCCUUUAAAGAAAGCGUAACAGCUCACUGGUCAAGCGCUCCUGCGCGGAAAAUGUAACGGGGCUUAAGUGAUACACCGAAGCUGCGGGCUCGAAAGAGCGGUAGCGGAGCGUUCCGUAGGCCGAUGAAGGCAGACCCGCGAGGGCUGCUGGAGGUAUCGGAAGUGAGAAUGCUGACAUGAGUAGCGACAAAGAGGGUGAGAGACCCUCUCGCCGAAAGUCCAAGGGUUCCUGCGCAAUGCUAAUCAGCGCAGGGUUAGUCGGCCCCUAACGCGAGGCAGAAAUGCGUAGUGGAUGGGAAGCAGGUUAAUAUUCCUGCACCGCCGGGUAGUGACGGAUUCUGGAAGUUGUCAGUCCUUAUCGGAUUGGACUGGCAGCCAAGGAGUCCCUGGAAAUAGCUCCCGGAUUAGACCGUACCCCAAACCGACACAGGUGGACUGGUAGAGUAUACCAAGGCGCUUGAGAGAACUAUGCUGAAGGAACUCGGCAAAUUACUCCCGUAAGUUCGCGAGAAGGGAGCCUGGCAUUGCGCAAGCAGUGUCCAGGGGCACAGACCAGGGGGUGGCGACUGUUUAUUAAAAACACAGGGCUCUGCGAAGUCGCAAGACGACGUAUAGGGUCUGACGCCUGCCCGGUGCCGGAAGGUUAAAAGGAGGAGUGAGAGCUCCGAAUUGAAGCCCCGGUAAACGGCGGCCGUAACUAUAACGGUCCUAAGGUAGCGAAAUUCCUUGUCGGGUAAGUUCCGACCUGCACGAAUGGCGUAACGACUUCCCCGCUGUCUCCAGUGUAGACUCAGCGAAAUUGAAUUCUCCGUGAAGAUGCGGAGUUCCCGCGGUCAGACGGAAAGACCCCGUGCACCUUUACUACAGCUUGACAGUGGCAUUAGCGAUAAUUUGUGUAGGAUAGGUGGGAGGCUAUGAAACUUGGGCGCCAGCUCAGGUGGAGCCAACCUUGAAAUACCACCCUGAUUAUUGUUGAUGUCUAACCGCGGUCCAUGAACCUGGAUCCGGGACCCUGUCUGGUGGGUAGUUUGACUGGGGCGGUCGCCUCCCAAAGAGUAACGGAGGCGCGCGAUGGUGGGCUCAGAGCGGUCGGAAAUCGCUCGUUGAGUGCAAUGGCAUAAGCCCGCCUGACUGCGAGACUGACAGGUCGAGCAGAGUCGAAAGACGGCCAUAGUGAUCCGGUGGUCCCGCGUGGAAGGGCCAUCGCUCAACGGAUAAAAGGUACGCCGGGGAUAACAGGCUGAUGAUGCCCAAGAGUCCAUAUCGACGGCAUUGUUUGGCACCUCGAUGUCGGCUCAUCGCAUCCUGGGGCUGGAGCAGGUCCCAAGGGUUCGGCUGUUCGCCGAUUAAAGCGGUACGUGAGCUGGGUUUAGAACGUCGUGAGACAGUUCGGUCCCUAUCUGCCGUGGGUGUUGGAAAUUUGAGAGGAGCUGCCCCUAGUACGAGAGGACCGGGGUGGACGUACCUCUGGUGGACCUGUUGUCGCGCCAGCGGCAUAGCAGGGUAGCUAUGUACGGAAGGGAUAACCGCUGAAUGCAUCUAAGCGGGAAGCCCCCCUCAAAACCAGAUUUCCCUUGAGAGUCGAGGAAGACUACCUCGUUGAUAGGCCAGAUGUGGAAGCGUGGCGACACGUGAAGCUGACUGGUACUAAUAUCUCGAUUGGCUUGAUUUCUUUGAUGUU
rnacentral:rRNA from 1 species